rnacentral:misc_RNA from 1 species
GAUGAAGAACGUAGUGAAAUGCGAUAAGUAGUGUGAAUUGCAGAAUUCAGUGAGUCAUCGAAUCUUUGAACGCACAUUGCGCCCACUGGUAUUCCGGUGGGCAUGCCUGUUCGAGCGUCAUUAUCCUCUCUCAAACCCCGGGUUUGGUGUUGGACCCAAGUUGUGCGAACAACUGGUCUAAAAGACAAUGACGGCGUCCGUGGGACCCUCGGUGCAACGAGCUUUUCGGAGCACGCAUCGAGUCGCAAGGACCUUCCGGGCCGGUCUCCUCUAUCUAUUUACUAGGUUGACCUCGGAUCAGGUAGGAAUACCCGCUGAACUUAAGCAUAUCAAUAAGCGGAGGA